rnacentral:lncRNA from 1 species
CGUACAUAUAUCAAUUUCUACGACUGAAUAUUAAUUUACAUCUCAAAUAUUAGUUGGGCAACAUUUCACAUCUGUUAGAAAAUCAGAGAAGAUCAGCGAAAAUUGUACAACAUGCAUUCAUUAAUUUUCUAGUGCUGCCCAAAAACAAUUGAUUAGGUGGGCCUAAUCCGACAAACACGGCGUGACACAAUUGCAGACUACUGCCCAUUGUCAAUAUCACCAUCUCCCUCCUAUUUUCCGCCCUUUCUCCUGUUAUUAAUUGGUUCCAUCGGCUAAUCCAUGCAGCUGGCCGUGCAUGUGUGUUAUCCUCAGCCUGCUUUCGACACAACACAUGUAAAUUAAUACCCGGCAAAUACAACACUAUCUGUCGGCACUGCACUAUCUUUCUUAUACCAGGCAAAUACAACACUAAUUUUAUCAAGUACAGAAGGACCAGAGUAUUUUCGUUCCAGAGGAACACUGCAAAAUAUGCUCUGUUGAAGCAUCUACCAGUUGCAUGGCUUCAUCAAAAUUUGAACUUGCAUGGUUCAACAAAAUCAAACAGUGAACUCUCAUGAAUAUUAUUUCAGAGGGCGAUGAUGCUCUAUCAUUGGGAUAGGACCUCACAUCUUAAUGAAAGGAAGCAGUUAAUAAUCAAGUCUAAAAUCUGAGUGAGACUUAAGCAGUCAAGCCCAUUGCAGCACCAUGUCUGAUAGAAAAACACUAACAACGUCUAAUAACUAACAAAGAGUGACUUGACCCAUAUAUAUGUCUCCAAAUGCAGGUCACAUAUUACUACACAAGAAAACAUAUGAGGUUGCUGCUGCUUCUUCACAUAAACGAUCAUAAAUAAGAUGAGAAGGCAGACACAGCAAGCAGGAAGGCAAGACCUUCCAGCACAACUGUGAUUCCUUCAACAGUGACGGUAGUAGCAGUGUCCCUGGGGACGUACCUGCAGUCACCCAUAUUGUACUCCUUCUGUGGACAAGAGAACAUACUUGUGUGAAGUUUGGGACUGCCAACGUCAAAAAUGAAGAAUGGAACUUGAGAUCUUUGCCUGUUCCAAGUAACAGCAUGUGGUUCCUUUUCUUUGAUAAGAAAUCAGAUGAUACAAGGAAAUAAAAUAAAAAGUAGCACUUCUGUUGUAUGUUUUGUAGCAUAUCUAUAUGAAAUGCAUGAGAUCAACGAAGAUGCAAGAUGACAAGACUCACCUGCUCAUUGUGGCCAAGGCUAUUCCGUGUUCCAUCCCUUAACAUUGAAUGCACUUGAACAAUCCUUAGGAAUCCAUGUCUCAUCAUGCAUUCCAAAGAACCUGGAUAGAGCAACUGAUUGUGAACCAAACUGAUUUAUAAGAAAGAUGUUACAAAAGAUCAAUCUACUGUCUAUUGAAUACUGAUUUCUUUCUUUGUGAUCCUUGCAACAACAAAAAUCUUGACUCUACUCGUCAUCAUAGUAUAGCUUGGUCAGAGGCUACUUCCCCAACCAUCAUUAGAAACUAAACCAUCUGGGUAUGAUGAAAUCAAGGGUCCUUCUAACAUGGCAUUGUGUGAUGUUUUGUACCAGAGAACAAAAUAAAAUUUGCUGUGGCGAAAUCAGUAGCACAGAAGCAAUAAGGAAAAACAAAAAUACAAGUAAUAUGUACAGUAAUAAAGUAUGUGAUGCAAAAUGCAGUAAACAAUUACAGUCCCAUGUAGUUAUACCAGAUGAAAGAAGGAUAUAAAAAAAUAGAUCACCAAAUGAAGCUCACACAGCUAUUUGCCACCAAUUUAUCAGACAACAUUGUACAUGAAUCUGCAAUACUUACAUACAGUAGAUCAGUAGUGCUACUUUUU